rnacentral:rRNA from 1 species
UACGAAGGGGGCUAGCGUUGCUCGGAAUCACUGGGCGUAAAGCGCACGUAGGCGGGUCUUUAAGUCAGGGGUGAAAUCCUGGAGCUCAACUCCAGAACUGCCUUUGAUACUGAAGAUCUUGAGUUCGGGAGAGGUGAGUGGAACUGCGAGUGUAGAGGUGAAAUUCGUAGAUAUUCGCAAGAACACCAGUGGCGAAGGCGGCUCACUGGCCCGAUACUGACGCUGAGGCACGAAAGCGUAGGGAGCAAACAGG